rnacentral:rRNA from 1 species
UAGCAAACAGGAUCAUAUACCCUGGUAGUCCACCCCGAAAUCGAUGUCGAUUACCCGUUGGGCCCCUAGAGGACUUAGUGGCGCAGUACACGAGAUAAGUCGCCCCCGUGGGGAGUACGCCCGCAAGGUUAAAACUCAAAUGAAUUGACGGGGGCCCGCCCAAGCGGUGGAGCAUGUGGUUUAAUUUGAUGCAACGCGAAGAACCUUACCUACCCUUGACAUCCUGCGAACCCGGAAGAGAUUCCGGGGUGCCUUCGGGAGCGCAGAGACAGGUGCUGCAUGGCUGUCGUCAGCUCGUGUUGUGAAAUGUUGGGUUAAGUCCCGUAACGAGCGCAACCCUUGUCCCUAUUUGCCAGCGAUUCGGUCGGGAACUCUAGGGAGACUGCCGGUGACAAACCGGAGGAAGGUGGGGACGACGUCAAGUCAUCAUGGCCCUUACGGGUAGGGCUACACACGUGCUACAAUGGCCGGUACAAAGGGUUGCGAAGCCGCGAGGUGAAGCCAAUCCCAGAAAGCCGGCCUCAGUCCGGAUUGGAGUCUGCAACUCGACUCCAUGAAGUCGGAAUCGCUAGUAAUCGUGCAUCAGAAUGGCACGGUGAAUACGUUCCCGGGCCUUGUACUACACCGCCCGUCACACCA